UCUGAUCCAUGUGUACACUUCUAAUGAGUAGCUGAUCAGACUGCAUUGCAUAUUAAAUUAGCUUAAUAAAUAGCCUUCAUUUCACUUCUGCGUACAGAGAGAACUGGGGCUGUAAAUAUGUUGGACACGUGUGAGUGACACCAACGUACAGCCAAGAGAAAGUACCAUGUCCUUCAAACGACCUUCACUCCAAGAACGCCUCCUUGCAGCCAAUCCAAGUACUCCCUGCUGGAGGAAACAGCGUUAGCAGGAUCGGUGCACUUCUAAGAAAAUCUCAAAUAAUCAAUCGAGCGUUACACAUAUAUUUUUUAUUAAAAUACCACUAUAUGUCUU